rnacentral:ncRNA from 1 species
GAACCGAAAGAAGGUGAACUAUGCCUAUAUACGGUGAUGCCAGAGGAAACUCUGGUGGAGGCUCGCAGCGGUUCUGACGUGCAAAUCGAUCGUCAAACAUAGGCAUCGGGGCGAAAAACUAGUCGAACCUACGGCGGU